rnacentral:rRNA from 1 species
CACGCCGUAAACGAUGAUCACUCGUCAUUGGCGAUAUACUGUCAGUGACCUAGCGAAAGCGUUAAGUGAUCCACCUGGGGAGUACGAUCGCAAGAUUGAAACUCAAAGGAAUUGACGGGGGCCCGCACAAGCGGUGGAGCAUGUGGUUUAAUUCGAUGAUACGCGAGGAACCUUACCAGGGCUCGAACGUAUGUUGACAGUCGCGGAAACGCGAUCUUCUUCGGACAACAUGCGAGGUGC